ensembl:lncRNA
CUUCUAUAUGACCUAAUGUCAGCCUGCCUUGGACUCUAUUGGAAUCCAGCACUACCUGAUGGAAACUUGGCGUGGUCAGUGCCCACUGGUAACUGUCAAGGCCUUUCCAUGCCUCAGUUCAGCUCCCUGAGAAGCUAUCGAGUGUCACAGCAUGUCACAGGCCACAGGCCAGCACACGGAGGGGUUCAUCUGAUGUCAGGUGCUGUCUCCAGGUCCAUUUAGCUGUGAUGAACACGGGGCCCGAGUGAUACAAGGUGGGCUUCCAUUCACGUAAGGGUGGUGGCCUGGGCAACCUCACUUAAAGGGAUGGUUGUGGGUGAUGUACCAAAUGGCUGGGGCCUGGUACAGAUGUCCUGGUUACAGCCUCAGUUCUGCGCAGGUUGUCAAAGAGCCAAGGAGACGGAGUUUUGAUCUUUCGGGGCUACAAUUUCAAAUGAUAAAUAGCCUAAUUCUGGGAGUUCUCUUUGGAGUAACAAUGGUAACCUGAGUGCAAGAAACACAAGCUGAGUCUCCAUCUGGAGCGCGGAACCCACCAUGCUUACUAAUUAUGCCUGGGCUGCUAAGAUCCGACCAGGGAGGCCUCAGUGUCUCCUCUCCUUCGGGAGAAUGGAAGGACGCCUGCGGCCUACGAGUAAGAGCCAAUUUGAGAAAAGAGGAACAUUUCAGGUUUGGACAUGAGAAGUUUGAUGUGGCUAUGGGUCACGGUCAAGAGGUAGAGAAGUCCAUAAGCUAGUAAUUACGUAUCCACAUGGAGGUGAAGUCUGGAACAGAGUUGAGAGUUGAUGGAAUGGUGAUUUAACUCUCUGGAUUAUAUAAAUUGAGAGAACUAGUAUGCACAUAAUAAAAGCAGGUGAUCACAUAUUCGUUUGGCUGCCAAAAUGUUGACUGGGUCAAGGAUAUGCUGAUAUGUAAACAAAUUGUUGCAACUUAUUUUGCGGACAUUAGGACAAUGAAGAAGGUUCCCAGGUCAGUGUACAGCAGGCCAAUAUCAUGGUGAUUUAUGCUCUAAUUUCCUGAGAUGCAAAACACAACAAUAUGCCUAGAUUAUGUUUCAUAUUAUCC